GACGAACGCUGGCGGCGUGCUUAACACAUGCAAGUCGAACGGGCCUGUCUUCUUUUUUGGGGGGUGGGUUGAGUGGCGAACGGGUGAGUAUCACGUGAGUAACCUGCCCUUCGGUCCUGGAUAACCGCUUGAAAGGGCGGCUAAUACGGGGUGGUCCGGUUGGUCCGCAUGGGCUGGUCGGGAUAGAUUCACUGUUUUUGGUGUUUCGGCGGGGGAUGGGCUCGCGGCCUAUCAGCUUGUUGGUGGGGUGAUGGCCUACCAAGGCGGUGACGGGUAGCCGGCCUGAGAAAGUGGGCGACCACACUGGAACUGAGAUACAGCCCAGAGUCCUGGGGGGGGGAGCGGUGGGGGGUAUUGCACAAUGGGCGGAGGCCUGAUGCAGCGGCGUCGCGUGAGGGAUGGUGGGCUUCGGGUUGUGAACCUCUGUUUCCGGUGGUGAAGGCCCUGUCCGUGUGGUGGGGUUGACGGUAGCCGGGGAUGAAGCGCCGGCUAACUACGUG
rnacentral:rRNA from 1 species